AAGUCGUAACAAGGUCUCCGUUGGUGAACCAGCGGAGGGAUCAUUACCAGAGUAGCCCUAGGCUCUCCAACCCACUGUGAACAUACCCAUCGUUCCCUCGGCGGGCUCAGCGCGCGGCUGCCUCCGGGCUCCGGGCGUCCGCCGGGGACAACCAAACUCGUUUUUUAUGGUGAAUCUCUGAGGGGCGAGAGCCCGAAAACAAAAUAAAUCAAAACUUUCAACAACGGAUCUCUUGGCUCUG
rnacentral:misc_RNA from 1 species